ensembl:lncRNA
AAGUGCAACAACAGCUCAAACCACAAUGCCACUUGCACCUGCAACUACUGAAACACUCACAAUCACCAAAAUGACUUCAGAAACCACAACUGCACCAACCACAUCGAUAACUACAGCCUCCACAACUACCACUGUAGCUUCAACAAUGACAACAGCAGCUUCUCUUGCAACAACCACAACUACAGCUUCCAUCACCACAACCAUUCCUUCCACUUCUACAUCAGAUCAAACCACACCUAAGGCUGCAAGUACAACAUCAAAAGGUCCGAACACAACUUCAAAAAGUAUAACUUCACCUGCUGGAAUGAUGGAAUAUUCAACUACUACAUCAAGUUUAACCCCAGCCACAACUACUGAAACCUCAACUCUUACUUCACCAACAAUGUCUACAACUUCAGAAAGUACUCCUGCACCUGCAACAUCCACCAUUACAGCUUCCUCUUCUACGAAUAACUAUCCCACAACAGAAAAUCCAUCUCAAACCUCAACUUCAAUUCCAGGCACAAACACACCUACAGCGGCAACAACAACUGCAUUCCAAAUAACAACUGCACCUCUAUCAACCACAACUAUUGCUUUCACUAAUACAGCUCCAGCUCUAAGCCAAGCAGGACUCCUUACCACAACAAAUGCACCUCCAGUUAUCACAACUGUGUCUCCGGAGACCAUAACUAUUGCUGUAACAAUUAUGCCUAUCUCAUCAUCACAUGUAACUAUAUCCCCAACUUUAACUCCAAUAAAAACAACUGAACCUCCAAGAACCCCAACUACACCCAUUACAACCAUGACUGUUCUUCCCACCACUACAAUUCCAGCUGAUAUCUCAACUACAGCUCCACGCACAACAACAGCCACUAUUCCAAGUUCAACUGCAGCUCAAACAACAACUGCAUUUCAAGUAACAACAGGAGAUCUUUUAAGAACAACUAUAGCUUUUACCAACACAUCUUCUGCUCCAGCCACACUUGCACUUUCAACCAAAACAACUUCAAGCCCAAACAUGGAUUCAGAAACUACAACUGCAUCAACAACUACAACUGGAAUUAAUACAGGUCUCACCAGUGCAGCAGAAUUUCCAAUAGCUCCAAUAACAUCAGUUUCAAACACAAAUGCAUCAACAUCCCCAGCAUCUACAAUUCCACGUCAAUCAUCAAUCAAAACAACACCAGCUGAAACACUUUCUAGCAAUACUACACCUCUAAACAAUGCAACAAAAGGAGAUGCAUCUGCAACACUUCAAAGUACUUCAAGUUUGCAACCAGAAACUUCAAACAUACCCAAAACAUUGUCAACAAAUGUGACUGGUGCAGCAACAGUCACAACCAUAUUGGUAUUCUCAUCCUUGUCGUCAGUGCCCAAUGAAAAUUUGGUCCUAGGUGCUAUCAGUACUCUUCUGGAAUCUAGACAGUCCCAACUCAAUGGAUCACUGAAGAUUGUAAAUUUUACUUAUCAGAAAAUCUCAGAAACCUCCUAUGUCGUCAUCUUCGACUUUAGUCUGAGUAAUAUCAGCAUGCCAGAGGAACCUGAUCUAAGAAACAACAGUUAUGUUCAAGUACAAGAUGUCAUCAAUAAUGCGCUGAACACUCUUCUGAAUGAACCUGGCAGUCUAACUUUACAACCCAAGACCUCCAACUUCACGAGCAAUUCAAGUCUGAUUGAAGGCAGGAUGGAAUACAACUUCCAGGAUGGAGAUGUCAUACAACCAGUCAGCUUCCUAAAUAUGCUACAUUUACGGACCACUACAACAUUGUUUCCGGAAACAACAUUUUUUUUCUCUGUGACUCCUUCCAAACUCAUAUCUGGUUCAGCAGUGGUCACAAGCAAGCUGGUGUUCAACACCUCAUCUCCAGUUCCCAGUGAAUCUCUGGUCCUCAGUGCAAUCAAAACUCUGCGUAAUUCCAGAGAGUCACAGCUCAAUGAAUCGGUGAAGGUGGUGAAUGUCACCUAUGAGAAAAUCUCAGAAACCUCCUAUGCUGUGGUCUUUACAUUUAACGUGAUUAACAUCAGCAUGCCA